UACGUAGGGGGCAAGCGUUGUCCGGAUUUAUUGGGCGUAAAGAGCGUGUAGGCGGCCAGAUAGGUCCGUUGUGAAAACUGGAGGCUUAACCUCCAGCUGUCGAUGGAAACCAUCUGGCUAGAGUCCGGAAGAGGAGAGUGGAAUUCCUGGUGUAGCGGUGGAAAUGCGCAGAUAUCAGGAAGAACACCCGUGGCGAAGCGGCUCUCUGGGAGCGGUACUGACGCUGAGACGCGAAAGCGUGGGGAGCGAACAGG
rnacentral:rRNA from 1 species